UAAUACAGGAGUGUUUAUGGUUGGGUUGAGACACAUUCAGUAGCUGAGUGAUUGACAGCAAGAGGAGCAAGACAUGAGGUAGAUUUGUAUUAUAUUCUCAGUGAAACGGGAUAGCUUUAGAAGCUUUUUAAUAAAAAGGAUAUAUGAUCUAAAUUUCCUACUGUUAAUAAUUAUCAAAUAUAUGGCAAUGCUGGACUUUAGCUGAUCAUCGUGCUUCUGGAAAACAACAAAAAUUGAGAUAUCUGUUCACCACUUUGUGUGUCCAAGGACCACCUACUUUUUACAUGUGACAAGAACUACCCACCUCCACUCUUCAGAACAUGCUGAAGAAAAGAGUUGCAAUGAGAAAAUAUAUGGGAACAAAAUACCUAUGCAAUGCAGAAGUCUGCAUAACUGAACCACUCAGAGGAAAAAGAUUGCCAUUUCAGGACACCUCCUACAUCUGAGGAAAUAUGCAUUGAUCUUGCAGUACUUUUCUCCUCCAAAUAAAAGUCAGUAUGAUAACAA
rnacentral:lncRNA from 1 species